UGGGGAAUAUUGCACAAUGGGCGCAAGCCUGAUGCAGCCAUGCCGCGUGUAUGAAGAAGGCCUUCGGGUUGUAAAGUACUUUCAGCGAGGAGGAAGGCAUUGCGGUUAAUAACCGCAGUGAUUGACGUUACUCGCAGAAGAAGCACCGGCUAACUCCGUGCCAGCAGCCGCGGUAAUACGGAGGGUGCAAGCGUUAAUCGGAAUUACUGGGCGUAAAGCGCACGCAGGCGGUCUGUCAAGUCGGAUGUGAAAUCCCCGGGCUCAACCCGGGAACUGCAUUCGAAACUGGCAGGCUAGAGUCUUGUAGAGGGGGGUAGAAUUCCAGGUGUAGCGGUGAAAUGCGUAGAGAUCUGGAGGAAUACCGGUGGCGAAGGCGGCCCCCUGGACAAAGACUGACGCUCAGGUGCGAAAGCGUGGGGAGCAAACA
rnacentral:rRNA from 1 species